rnacentral:rRNA from 1 species
GUCGACUCGGGUCCUGCUGCUGGGGUAGUGCGGAGGUGGCGUGCGUUAAGUGGAAUGGCUUGGCGGAAGGCGUGCGUGGGGGGAUGGGGCAGUCAGCCGUGAAAGCCCCGGGCUCAACCUGGGAACGGCGGUGGAGGCGGCCCGUCUCUAGGGGGCGAGAGGAUCGUGGAAUUCCGGGGGUAGCGGUGAAAUGCGUAGAGAUCCGGAGGAACACCGAUGGCGGAGGCAGCGAUCUGGGGCCACACUGACGCUGAGGCACGAAAGCGUGGGGAGCAAACAGGAUUAGAUACCCCUGUAGUC